rnacentral:rRNA from 1 species
GAUGAACGCUGGCGGCGUGCUUAACACAUGCAAGUCGAACGAGAUGUGGAGACGGAAACCUUCGGGCGGAAGACUUUAUUUCGAGUGGCGGACGGGUGAGUAACGCGUGGGUAACCUGCCUCAUACAGGGGGAUAACAGUUGGAAACGACUGUUAAUACCGCAUAAGACCACAGCACCGCAUGGUGCGGGGGUAAAAACUCCGGUGGUAUGAGAUGGACCCGCGUUCGAUUAGCCAGUUGGCGGGGUAACGGCCCACCAAAGCGACGAUCGAUAGCCGAUCUGAGAGGAUGACCGGCCACAUUGGGACUGAGACACGGCCCAAACUCCUACGGGAGGCAGCAGUGGGGAAUAUUGCACAAUGGGGGAAACCCUGAUGCAGCGACGCCGCGUGAGUGAAGAAGUAUUUCGGUAUGUAAAGCUCUAUCAGCAGGGAAGAAAAUGACGGUACCUGAGUAAGAAGCCCCGGCUAACUACGUG